GCAUUAAUGGGGUAGUGGUAACCUGGGUCGUUGCCAUUCGCAUUGUUUCGACCCGCCGGGAGUUCGAUUCUCUCUUAAUGCA